CCUCCCCUCCCUCCCCUCCCUCCCCUCCCUCCCCUCCCUCCCCUCCCUCCCCUCCCUCCCCUCCCUCCCCUCUCUCCUCUCCCUCCUCUCCUUCCUCUCCCUCCCUCCUCUCCUUUCCUCUCUUCCCCCUCUCUCCUGUUUGUUCAGUUAUGAAGUGAUUUUCUUUGUAUCUUGUUGGACUUGUCAGUUGAUGCUGGUAACUUGACACAGCUGUGGGUAUUGGGGCCAUCACAGUCUAGCAGGGAGCAGCAGGUUGACUCCCAAAUGAAACACCUCAGCGAUUCCCUCCCCUCAAACUGAUGUUCUCCAUCAAAACACUUGGGACCUGGGAAGUGAGAGACAAGUAGGCGUGUUCUAGAUCAACUGAGUGGAGUGGCGUAUCCCAGGAGGCAGUGGGCAAGAGCAGGCCAGGAACGAGUGUGUGUGGAGAGUUGGGGGUUCAAGGCUAAGGGGCCAGGCAGGGCCAGCUGGGGAAGGACUAGCAGCUUUGAGUAAAGAGCUUGCUUGGCUCACAGCAGCUGCUUGACAAAUGUUUGUUGAAUUGAAAUAUUGGAUACUGAAUCACACCCCUUCUUGUACAUUCUGCCUUUAUUUACACCCAGGUCAUAGAGAAGAGCUGUGUGUGGGGUAGGCUGCCACCUUCCCUGGAGAGUGGAUAGCCCUGGGCUUCGGCAGUUACGGAGAUGAAGGGACCCUUCCUGCACAGUACGGGAUUCCAUGGCACUUUACAGCUUCGACUCAGAAGCCACAGUGACAUGCUUCAAGGGCCUUUCUUCUACUUGUGCCUCUCAGUGCCUCCAAAUGUGCCUUGUGCCAACACCCAAGCUGCUUACCUGGCUAUGAUCAGGUUGUACGCGUCAUUAAUCCCAGCACUUAGGAAGCAAGAGUCAAGCAGAGCUCUGUAAGGUGGAGGUUAGCCUGGUCUAAAUAGUGAGAUCCAGGCCAGCCAGGGCUACAGUGAGAGACUCUGCCUCAAAACCAAAACAAAACAGACAAACCAAAAUGACAACAAUCUCCACAUUGAGACAUGAGUCUGUCAUAUUAAGGAUCCUUCACAAAC
rnacentral:lncRNA from 1 species